rnacentral:rRNA from 1 species
CUUAUACAUGCAAGUCGAACGAAGCUUUCGGGCUUAGUGGCGCACGGGUGCGUAACGCGUAUGCAAUUUACCUUUUACAGGGGGACAACACUAGGAAACUGGUGCUAAUACCGCGUAAUAAAUAGAGAGGCAUCUUUUUAUUUUAAAAGAAUUUCGGUAAGAGAUAAGCAUGCGUCCCAUUAGCUAGUUGGUAAGGUAACGGCUUACCAAGGCCACGAUGGGUAGGGGAACUGAGAGGUUUAUCCCCCACACUGGUACUGAGAUACGGACCAGACUCCUACGGGAGGCAGCAGUAAGGAAUAUUGGGCAAUGGGCGAGAGCCUGACCCAGCCAUGCCGCGUGCAGGAUGACGCUCCUCGUUGGGUGUAAACUGCUUUUAUUAGGGAAGAACAAGUUUCUGCGGAGACAACUGACGGUACCUAAUGAAUAAGCACCGGCUAACUACGUGCCAGCAGCCGCGGUAAUACGUAGGGUGCAAGCGUUGUCCGGAUUUAUUGGGUUUAAAGGGUGUGUAGGCGGUCUAGUAAGUUUUGGGUGAAAGCCCACCGCUCAACGGUGGAACUGCCUGAGAUACUGCUAGACUUGAGUAUAGUUAAAGUUACUAGAAUUGGUGGUGUAGCGGUGAAAUGCAUAGAUACCACCAGGAAUACCAAUUGCGAAGGCAGGUAACUAGCCUAUAACUGACGCUGAGGCACGAAAGCAUGGGUAGCGAACAGGAUUAGAUACCCUGGUAGUCCAUGCUGUAAACGAUGAGGACUCGGUGUUGGCAUUUAUGUCAGUGCCUAAGGGAAACCGAUA